rnacentral:rRNA from 1 species
GACGAACGCUGGCGGCGUGCUUAACACAUGCAAGUCGAACGGAAAGGCCCUGCUUUUGUGGGGUGCUCGAGUGGCGAACGGGUGAGUAACACGUGAGUAACCUGCCCUUGACUUUGGGAUAACUUCAGGAAACUGGGGCUAAUACCGGAUAGGAGCUCCUGCUGCAUGGUGGGGGUUGGAAAGUUUCGGCGGUUGGGGAUGGACUCGCGGCUUAUCAGCUUGUUGGUGGGGUAGUGGCUUACCAAGGCUUUGACGGGUAGCCGGCCUGAGAGGGUGACCGGCCACAUGGGAACUGGGAUCGGGCCCAGACUCCUACGGGGGGAAGAGGUGGGAAAUAUUGCACAAGGGGCGGAGGCCGAAGGCAGAAACGCGGGGUGCGGGAGGACGGCCUUCGGGUUGUAAACCGCUUUCGCCUGUGACGAGGCGUGGGUGACGGUAAUGGGUAAGGAAGCACCGGCUAACUACGU